AUAUAUAAUGUUUCAGCAUUUACUUUUAACUCCUUCUCCUCCUGCAAGCCCCCCAUUCUAACAGUAUGUUAGAGGGAAAUGAUGGAUAACACCAUACAACUACCAGAAUUCGGUAUAAAAGAACGAACCCGAGCUGUAUUCCGUGGAGAUCACCCCAGCUAUACACUGACAUAGCAGUCUAGGAUUGUCAGAGAGCACACGAAAUGAUGUCGUCCGUCUGGUUCGUGUUGUUGCUGAUCACGUGUCUGCUCCAUGUCAACAUGGCUUACUUAGACUUAGAAGGACCCUGGAGUUGGGAUUUCGGCCCAUGGGACACCUUUCAAACGCACUAUCUUCCGCGUCCUCCGUUGGUCUUCCCCUACCCGAGGCAACCGGUCAUUAUACCUCUUGCUCACAUAUGGGAGUGAAACCGGGUCGUUUGGAACUGUAUUAAAAGAUUGUCCCUACCUUGACUUGGUUGCUCGACGUGGAGACACACUUCAUGGAUCAAGUCUCAUCUGUAAAUUUAUCUGUAAAUCCAAUUUACAAAUAACUAUGGUUUAAUUUGUUUAAUCAUCAGUAACCUGCAGCGCUUACUUGGAUUGUUCUAAGUCUACCUGUACGUAGAGGUAACAGACGUAUUUGUGGUGAUAAAAGUGUACGUACUAAAUGCAGAGUGCAAUAGUCCAAUCAAAAAUGUAACUACCCUUUUACGAGACUUUAGUCUAAUUAGGUAUUUUACCAAUCAAAAAUGUUAUCAUCCUUAGAGUCAAAACAGAUAUGUAUCACUCAUUAGCACAAUCAGCAAUGUCAUCACUAUCUAGUUGGCAUAGUUCCGCUUUGAUAUGUGAUACUAUUGAUAUCUUGUAAUAAAAGAUUUACUGUAAGUCAC